rnacentral:rRNA from 1 species
UGAGGAAUAUUGGUCAAUGGGCGAGAGCCUGAACCAGCCAAGUAGCGUGCGGGAUGAAGGCCCUAUGGGUUGUAAACCGCUUUUACAGGGGGAUAAAGUGAGUCACGUGUGAUUCAUUGCAGGUACCCUGCGAAUAAGGACCGGCUAAUUCCGUGCCAGCAGCCGCGGUAAUACGGAAGGUCCGGGCGUUAUCCGGAUUCAUUGGGUUUAAAGGGAGCGUAGGCCGCCCUUUAAGCGUGUUGUGAAAUGUAGGGGCUCAACCCCUGCACUGCAGCGCGAACUGGAGGGCUUGAGUACACGCAAGGCAGGCGGAAUUCGUGGUGUAGCGGUGAAAUGCUUAGAUAUCACGAAGAACCCCGAUUGCGAAGGCAGCUUGCCGGAGUGUGACUGACGCUGAAGCUCGAAAGCGCGGGUAUCGAACAGGAUUAGAUACCCUGGGUAGU